rnacentral:rRNA from 1 species
ACCGCCCGUCACACCAUGGGAGUUGGCUUUACCCGAAGGCGGUGCGCUAACCAGCAAUGGAGGCAGCCGACCACGGUAGGUCAGCGACUGGGGUG